GGCGGCAACACCAUGCACGUCGUACCAGUNUACCAUUCGGGGGUACACGAGCGGCGAACGGGUGAGUAACACGUGGGUGAUCUGCCUUGCACUUCGGGAUAAGCCUGGGAAACUGGGUCUAAUACCGGAUAUGACCUUCCAGUGCAUGCUGGUUGGUGGAAAGAUUUAUCGGUGCGAGAUGGGCCCGCGGCCUAUCAGCUUGUUGGUGAGGUAACGGCUCACCAAGGCGACGACGGGUAGCCGACCUGAGAGGGUGACCGGCCACACUGGGACUGAGACACGGCCCAGACUCCUACGGGAGGCAGCAGUGGGGAAUAUUGCACAAUGGGCGAAAGCCUGAUGCAGCGACGCCGCGUGCGGGAUGACGGCCUUCGGGUUGUAAACCGCUUUUGACAGGGACGAAGCGCGAGUGACUGUACCUGUAGAAUAAGGACCGGCCAACUACGUGCCAGCAGCCGCGGUAAUACGUAGGGUCCGAGCGUUGUCCGGAAUUACUGGGCGUAAAGAGCUUGUAGGCGGUUCGUCGCGUCGUUUGUGAAAACUUGGGGCUCAACCUUAAGCUUGCAGGCGAUACGGGCGGACUAGAGUACUUCAGGGGAGACUGGAAUUCCUGGUGUAGCGGUGAAAUGCGCAGAUAUCAGGAGGAACACCGGUGGCGAAGGCGGGUCUCUGGGAAGUAACUGACGCUGAGAAGCGAAAGCAUGGGUAGCAAACAGGAUUAGAUACCCUGGUAGUCCAUGCCGUAAACGGUGGGUACUAGGUGUGGGGCUCCUUCCACGGACUCCGUGCCGUAGCUAACGCAUUAAGUACCCCGCCUGGGGAGUACGGCCGCAAGGCUAAAACUCAAAGAAAUUGACGGGGGCCCGCACAAGCGGCGGAGCAUGUGGAUUAAUUCGAUGCAACGCGAAGAACCUUACCUGGGUUUGACAUACACCAGAAAGCGGUAGAGAUGUCGCCCCCCUUGUGGUUUGGUGUACAGGUGGUGCAUGGGCUGUCGUCAGCUCGUGUCGUGAGAUGUUGGUAAGUCCCGCAACGAGCGCAACCCUUAUCUUAUGUUGCCAGCGCGUAAUGUCGUGAGAGACUGCCGGGUCACUCGGAGGGUGGGGCGACGUCAGUCAUCAUGCCCCUUAGUCAGGGUACACAUGCUACAUGACGUGCACGCUCCUUAAAGGAUCUUC
rnacentral:rRNA from 1 species